rnacentral:rRNA from 1 species
GACGAACGCUGGCGGCGUGCCUAAUACAUGCAAAUAGAACGCUGAAGCUUGGUGCUUGCACCGAGCGGAUGAGUUGCGAACGGGUGAGUAACGCGUAGGUAACCUGCCUGGUAGCGGGGGAUAACUAUUGGAAACGAUAGCUAAUACCGCAUAAGAGUAGAUGUUGCAUGACAUUUGCUUAAAAGGUGCAAUUGCAUCACUACCAGAUGGACCUGCGUUGUAUUAGCUAGUUGGUGAGGUAACGGCUCACCAAGGCAACGAUACAUAGCCGACCUGAGAGGGUGAUCGGCCACACUGGGACUGAGACACGGCCCAGACUCCUACGGGAGGCAGCAGUAGGGAAUCUUCGGCAAUGGACGGAAGUCUGACCGAGCAACGCCGCGUGAGUGAAGAAGGUUUUCGGAUCGUAAAGCUCUGUUGUAAGAGAAGAACGAGUGUGAGAGUGGAAAGUUCACACUGUGACGGUAUCUUACCAGAAAGGGACGGCUAACUACGUG